UACGUAGGGGGCGAGCGUUAUCCGGAUUCACUGGGUGUAAAGGGAGCGUAGACGGCCAAGCAAGCCAGGGGUGAAAGCCCGGGGCCCAACCCCGGGACUGCCCUUGGAACUGCAUGGCUGGAGUGCGGGAGGGGCAGGCGGAAUUCCUGGUGUAGCGGUGAAAUGCGUAGAUAUCAGGAGGAACACCGGCGGCGAAGGCGGCCUGCUGGAUCGCGACUGACGUUGGGGCUCGAAAGCGUGGGGAGCGAACAGG
rnacentral:rRNA from 1 species